CAGCUCUCCGAGUGGUAGGGAUGAUUAUUGGGCUUAAAGCGUCCGUAGCCUGCUUAGCAAGUCUCCUGUUAAAUUCAGCGACCUAAUCGUUGAGCCGCGGGAGAUACUACUAGGCUAGGAGGCGGGAGAGGUCGACGGUACUUCUGGGGUAGGGGUGAAAUCCUAUAAUCCCGGGAGGACCACCAGUGGCGAAGGCUGUUGACUAGAACGCGCUCGACGGUGAGGGACGAAAGCUGGGGGAGCGAACCGGAUUAGAUACCCGAGUAGUCC
rnacentral:rRNA from 1 species